rnacentral:lncRNA from 1 species
GUUGUUUUCCAGCGGCAAUGCGUACUCUCGCCAGCAGGGGGCAGUGUUCAUCUUUAAAUGACGUGAGCCUGGCAGGCCCGGCUCCCAGAGCUCGCAAUGCCCGGUAUCCCAGGAUCCCAGGCCCUCCAGAGCCCAUACUGAGGUUCUUCCUACACGCACGUCUCCUGAAUGCAAAUCUUAUGGACUGACAACACAGUCCGUCAGUCACUGAAGAGCACAUUAGCAUAUCUGUCUCUCCCUGUGGGAAUCCUGUUCCUUGGACUUCUGCAGAGGUUGCAGUUUGAUCUUUCGUGUAGUGAUGACUGGCAUCAAUUUAUAUUGAUACAAUGAAAAAUUCUAAAGAACAAUUUGUGGUAGAGAAAUAAAGGCGAUCUUGUCUUUGAAGAUGCGGAAUAUGGCAAGUAACUUUCCAGUAAAUCAUUCUAUUUUAGUGGAGGAGUUUUGAAGGAAGAUAAGCCCUGAGUUUCCUGAUUAUAUAUAAUUCAAACAUAGAUAUUCAAAAGUCUUAGAGAUAACAUUCUUCCGUAUGGAUGGAAGAGUUUGCUUUGUCUAUAGAUCCCAUUGUACGGCUUGAAGAAGAGAAGAAUUAUUUUCUCAAAAUCUCAAAAAUCAUAUUUCUGCAAUUUUCUUGAAAUCUCAGAAUCACAUCUAAUUUCUGAUCAAAUUGGCAACACUUUCUAGUUCUAAGUGUUCAGUUCAUCUGGAAAGAACUUGGUGCAAUUUGUGUAAUUACUUUACAGCUAUCUGCAAAACAAACCAUGGGAGUCACGUCUCUGCUGAUGAAUAUACAGAUUCAGGUCACUAGAACAUAAUCCCAAAACUGACAUUCUGGGUGAGAUUUUUCUCCUCUUUCGGUUCUCCUUCUUCUCCUUCUUCCUUCUUCUUUAUUUUUCUUCUUCUUUCUUCUUCUUCUUCUUCUUUUUUUUUUUUUGUGACAGAGUUUCACUGUCACCCAGACUAGAGUGUAGUUGCACAAUCACGGCUCACUGCAGUCUUGACCUCCUCGGCUAGGUGAUCCUCCCCCGUCAGCCUCCCAAGUCACUGGGAAUACAGGUGUGUGCCACUACACCCAGCUAAUUUUUGUAUUUUUUGUAGAGAUGGGUUUUCACCAUGUUUCCCAGCCUGUCUCCUUUCCUUUUUAUGAUUGAAUCCUUUUGAAAAGAAUGUUGUUUUGUUAUAAAAUUUUAAUGAACAAAGAAUAUAUUUUGGUGUUAAAAUCUUAAACCCUAUUAGAUGGUACCAUAAGGGUUUGUAUUCUACUCAGGAUAUGUCCAAGGAAAUGAUAAGAUUUGUUUGCAUAAGAUGGUAACAAUAUCUUAUCUUUUGAGGCUAAUAUUUAAAACCCAAGAGUAUG